rnacentral:rRNA from 1 species
AUACGUAGGGGGCGAGCGUUGUCCGGAUUUAUUGGGCGUAAAGGGUGCGCAGGCGGCCAUUUAAGUCAGCGGUUAAAUCGUGGGGCUCAACCCCAUUCUGCCGUUGAUACUGGGUGGCUUGAUUGCGGUCGAGGUUGGCGGAAUUCGUUGUGUAGCGGGGAAAUGCAUAGAUAUGACGAAGAACACCGAUUGCGUAGGCAGCUGACCAGACCGCAAAUGACGCUCAUGCACGAAAGUGCGGGGAUCGAACAGGAUUAGAUACCCUGGUAGUCCGCACAGUAAACGAUGAAUACUUGUUUUCGGCGAUAUAAUGUCGGAGGCAAAGCGAAAGCGAUAAGUAUUCCACCUGGGGAGUACGCCGGCAACGGUGAAACUCAAAGGAAUUGGCGGGG